rnacentral:rRNA from 1 species
AGCGAACGCUGGCGGCGUACCUAACACAUGCAAGUCGAACGGGGAUCACAGGGUUAGCAAUAACUCCGUGGUUCUAGUGGCGCACGGGUGAGUAACACGUGGGUAACCUGCCCUUGAGACUGGGAUACCCCCUCGAAAGGGGGGCUAAUACCGGAUACGUUCCUCGGAUCGAAAGGUUUGAGGAGGAAAGGUGGCGAAAGCUGCCGCUCUUGGAGGGGCUCGCGGCCUAUCAGCUAGUUGGCGGGGUAACGGCCCACCAAGGCUAUGACGGGUAGCUGGUCUGAGAGGACGACCAGCCACACGGGGACUGAGACACGGCCCCGACUCCUACGGGAGGCAGCAGUGGGGAAUUUUCCGCAAUGGGCGAAAGCCUGACGGAGUGACGCCGCGUGUGGGAUGAAGGCCUUCGGUCGU